AUUGAACGCUGGCGGCAUGCCUUACACAUGCAAGUCGAACGGCAGCACGGGAGCAAUCCUGGUGGCGAGUGGCGAACGGGUGAGUAAUAUAUCGGAACGUGCCCAGUCGUGGGGGAUAACGCAGCGAAAGCUGUGCUAAUACCGCAUACGAUCUACGGAUGAAAGCGGGGGAUCGCAAGACCUCGCGCGAUUGGAGCGGCCGAUAUCAGAUUAGCUAGUUGGUGGGGGAAAGGCCCACCAAGGCGACGAUCUGUAGCUGGUCUGAGAUGACGACCAGCCACACUGGAACUGAGACACGGUCCAGACUCCUACGGGAGGCAGCAGUGGGGAAUUUUGGACAAUGGGCGCAAGCCUGAUCCAGCAAUGCCGCGUGCAGGAUGAAGGCCUUCGGGUUGUAAACUGCUUUUGUACGGAACGAAACGGCCCUUUCUAAUACAGGGGGCUAAUGACGGUACCGUAAGAAUAAGCACCGGCUAACUACGUGCCAGCCGCCGCCGUAAGAC
rnacentral:rRNA from 1 species